rnacentral:lncRNA from 1 species
UGUAAUGCAUUUUUCCCAAUCAAUUUUAUUAAAGCUUGCACUUCGCAUGUUGAGACAAACGUCCAAGUAUUGUUUUCACGACUCAUCCGUCGUGCCAUCUGAUUGCAUUCAUUAACCUGUUGAGUGGUGCUAAUCAGAGAUUAACGUUUGUCUCAACAUAAAAUGUGUGAGCUCUUAUCAUUUUGAAUUAGGUAUGUUUCUUAAGCAAGUAUAGAUCACAAGUUACCAUCUUCUCUUGUCUCCUUAUCAGUUCAAAAUGUGCUUGUGAAGUGUCACCUUGUCUCACAUCGCUUAAACUAAUUUCCUCUUCCUCUUUUUCUCUGUCUCCAGAAUGAAAUAUGAGCGUCACCUGCCACCCACCAAGUACAAACAAGCCCUCGCUUUUGAAUGCUGAAUAUGGAUUGGAGUGUGAACUGGACUUGAUUUCCUGAAGCUAUCCUUCCAUCAGCCCGACAUAUAUUGUGGUGUAAUCAUGGAGUUGAAGACAGUGGUUUCAACGUGGUCAACAUUGGCGCUCCACCCAGGAUCUUGAGGGCGAACUUCUUUCAAAAAACGACGAAAAACUUGCCGCAAGCUUCUUUGCACGUGCUGCUCUUUAAGAACUCGCAGCUUUUGUUGAUCGUGCGUUUAAACAAAAGCUACGGAGGGAUUCCAUCGAACGUAAAAAGGGACUUAAUUAGAUUUACAAUAAAUGAUCAGUACAAAAAUGUAAUAAAGAGAAACAGAAUAAAACGGAACAUAUUUCGCAUGCACCUCCCAACUUAACAUUUGUUACGGAAAAUUAAACGUGUACGUGUGUGUUGAACAAAAAAUUGCAUGGAAUUUACUACAGGACAGGUCGUCCUCACAGAUGCGAAUGAUUUCGCUGUCGGUCUCGAACGAUUCGGUCGACACAUUUACCACCUGUCUGUGAAGGUGUACUUGCAUCUGAGAUAGAAUCAUAAGGUACUAUUGUAUUGUAUUGAAUUGUAUUGUGUAUUUUGUAUUGAGACUCCUGUCCUUCCGCUCCAGGCUCAGGCUCGUAUUGUGUUGAGCUCGGGCAGCAUCAGCAGUAAGUUUUCCGCCUAGGAGAAAACAAGAGUCCGGACGUGAAUUGCGGAGCGGGUGGCAGGGUGGCACCCUCUACUUUUAGACGAGUCCUCUCUGAUUGGCUGAUCCCACUUUCCGGAGCCCUUAUGGAAAAUAAUACGGGGUUCAUUUUCCAUCGAAAAUAUCUCGCGAACAAGGAAAAUUUUUUUCGGAGAUUUCAGAAAUUGAUUUUCCAGAUUUUCCUCAAGAGAUUGAUGGGCAAUACAUGACACUUCUUCCUCCACCACACUGAAUAGCUCGACUUGGAACUUGUUUUUUUUCCACAUGAAACAUGACACCCUCCGAUUGUUUACUGACACCAGAGUGCUUUCACUAAAAGGGACUUUACUGAAACUUGAGAAACGCGAUGCAUAAGCAGUUUUUGAGAUUCUUCUUCUUCGAAUAUUGGCCACUUUUUGAGGCCAGUCGAACUCUAGGGAGUAAAGUUGAAGCUCGCAUCAGUGCACUAUUGUUACGUAUUGUGCCAGCGGGUUGUUGUAAUUUUUGAAAACUAACUUCUGAAAAGCGAUAUUAAAAUAAGAAUGAUUUAAAAGCUGGAAAAUUACAAUUGGUCCCUCACUUGCACAAAAAUCGAAAGUUCAAGUAAAUAUCACUGGCAAAAAAACCUCUUGGUUCAAGAGUGCAGUUUCUUGUCGCCGGAUUUAAGAGUCUUGAACUCUUGUUUCAAGCGGAUCUUGCAUUGAUUCAAUUCACUGCACAAUUGAAUCAAUGCAAAAUCUGCUUGAAACAAGAGUUCAAGACUCUUUAAUCCGGCGACAAGAAACUGCACUCUUAAGUCAAUGCGCGGCAUUGGUCCAAGAGGUUUUUUUUUACCAGUGAUGUGAAAGUGAGUCACCCAUUGUAAUGUAAUUGUUCGUUAAUGAGCUUUUGCCGUCCGUUACACGUUGUAUCUAUCGUGUAAACCAAGGAUACCUGCAUUCCUCCGUUUUUCAUUUCAUCAAUAUUAUGUAGAGAUGUAACAUUCCUCUCCGGGGAUGAAAGUUUCCUCUCCGGAGACGAAACUUGACUCUGCGGAGAGAAGACCCUUUUCUCACAGAACUGUCAAUUCGUCAAUGUAUUGAUUGCUGAACACCUCCAUUGAAGGGGCGUCAUUUUGCACCGAUCACGCAGUCCAGACGGUUCCCGUCUGAAUU